GUGGGUGUAGGGGUGCCUGAGGAGAAAGGGGUGCUGGUUCUUCCUUAUAUCCCCUGCCUGCCUCAGCUGGGCUCUGACCCAGCCAGCAGACUGGAGUCCUCUUCUGCAUGAUUCUACAAAGAUCCUAUAUUUGAUGUCAACAUCUUAACAAGCAUGGCUAAUGACGAUGUCUGGUGUAUUUAUUUAAAAGGGCAUUCACUAGCAUAUGCCUAAAGGUACUCACAUAGGAGGAACACAAUAUGACCCCACAGAAGAAUAAUGAGCAACUAAACAUUGACAGUAACAAUGAGACUGUGGCCAAUGAGAUCACACCAUGCAAUGAGAUAGCUUAGAAACCUUGGCAUAGUGCCUUCCUGGAAAUCCCGGAUUGCAUCUAAAACCAUGUGGCAGAGGGAGAAACAACAGACAGGCCAUCCUGAGAAGACUCAGGCUGGGACGAAAGCUCUGCUCUCCAGGGACAAAGCAGCAGGGGACCAGCCAUGCUCAGAAAUACUCCACUGGCCAGUGCACAUUUUUUUGAGCAAUUUCACUUGCUUCCACACCACCUGCCCCCCUAACGCUUCUAUUAAAGUGGCAAAUAAAUCUGAUACCCA
rnacentral:lncRNA from 1 species